rnacentral:lncRNA from 1 species
UGCUCCUAUUGAGGUGCUGGGGCUGCAUCAGUCUCUCGCUCUGUCUGUCUGUGUCUGUCGUUCUCCUUUAACUGGAAUAGAAAGGAAAGGCGGAUGUAUCACACGCCGUGUGAUCCGUCUGUGACUUUCUCUCUCUGUAUUUCUCAGCCUUUUGUGAAUGGCGUCGGCUGGGGGAGAAUAGAGGUACAGCGGCAGUAACUAGACAGCUACAGUAGAAUAAGACUUGCUGCAGCUCUGUGGAGAAGAGAAGAGUCCUACUCUCUCAUUACAUCAGACUGUUCUCAGGGGUGUUACUGUUAGAGCAGUCUUGUGUGGAACAAGGCAAAUUAUGAAUCUUCAAUAUAGUGGGGACAGAAGCGCAAGCUUGCUGAGGCCAUGGAGGAGGAAGAGGGGGAGUCGGCGGACGAGUCCACCAAGGAUUCUAAUGAGGAAGAGGAAGGAAGCAGCUCAGAGGCUGAUGAGAUGGCCGCUGCCCUGGAUGCGGAGCUCAACGACUUCAUUUGACAAGGAUGAAUUUGAUUGGACAAAAGAACUGGGGCGUUUGAUUAGACGUUUGUGAACGAUGCCUCACAGAAACACUCUAAAUUACCCCAGCAGAUUUACGUCCAGGUUGUGCCUGAAUCUUUGUCUCUACGCUGUGUGUGUGUGUGGAUGUGUUUUAACGAGGUUGAAUGUGUUGUACAGAAUGAAAAGGUAGGUUAGUACAGUAGGAAAACGUCGGUGUGUAAAUAUAUACGCUCAAAAAAAUAAAGGGAACACUAAAAUAACACAUCCUAGAUCUGAAUGAAUGAAAUAUUCUUAUUAAAUACUUUUUCUUUACAUAGUUGAAUGUGCUGACAACAAAAUCACACAAAAAUGAUCCAUGGAAAUCAAAUUUAUCAACCCAUGGAGGUCUGGAUUUGGAGUCACACAAAAUUAAAGUGGAAAACCACACUACAGGCUGAUCCAACUUUGAUGUAAUGUCCUUAAAACAAGUCAAAAUGAGGCUCAGUAGUGUGUGUGGCCUCCACGUGCCUGUAUGACCUCCCUACAACGCCUGGGCGUGCUCCUGAUGAGGUGGCGGAUGGUCUCCUGAGGGAUCUCCUCCCAGACCUGGACUAAAGCAUCCGCCAACUCCUGGACAGUCUGUGGUGCAACGUGGCGUUGGUGGAUGGAGCGAAACAUGAUGUCCCAGAUGUGCUCAAUUGGAUUCAGGUCUGGGGAACGGGCGGGCCAGUCCAUAGCAUCAAUGCCUUCCUCGUGCAGGAACUGCUGACACACUCCAGCCACAUGAGGUCUAGCAUUGUCUUGCAUUAGGAGGAACCCAGGGCCAACCGCACCAGCAUAUGGUCUCACAAGGGGUCUGA